UAAUACGUAGGGGGCAAGCGUUGUCCGGAUUUAUUGGGCGUAAAGAGCGUGUAGGCGGCCAGACAAGUCUGCUGUGAAAACUCGAGGCUCAACCUCGAGCUGUCGGCGGAAACUGUUUGGCUAGAGUCCGGAAGAGGAGAGUGGAAUUCCUGGUGUAGCGGUGAAAUGCGCAGAUAUCAGGAAGAACACCUAUGGCGAAGGCAGCUCUCUGGGACGGUACUGACGCUGAGACGCGAAAGCGUGGGGAGCGAACAGGAUUAGAUACCCUGGUAGUCCACGCCGUAAACGAUGGGUGCUAGGUGUGGGCGGUGUCGACUCCGUCCGUGCCGAAGCUAACGCAUUAAGCACCCCGCCUGGGGAGUACGGCCGCAAGGCUA
rnacentral:rRNA from 1 species